UUUGGAAGUGCACAUCACAGACGGAGACCCUCCCUUCCCUUCCCUUCCUUCCGUCUCCCGAAACUCUCCCACUUCCUCUGUCCUCCCCUCUCCUCCUUCAAUGGCUCUCAUCACAUCUCCACCCUCUCUCUCCUCCAAGUCCCUCCUCCACCCUGUCUCCUUCCAACCCCGCCGCGCCCUCCUCCCCCUCCCGGCCGCGAGACCCAUCUCAGCCGUCCGCGCGACGGACCCGCCCCCUCUUUCUUCAUCGUCGUCCUCCGCGGUCCCCACGCGAUGGACCCUCGAGAGCUGGAAGGCCAAGAACGCCCUCCAGCUCCCCGAGUACCCGGACCCGGACGCGCUCGAGUCCGUGCUCAGGACCCUCGAGUCGUUCCCGCCCGUCGUCUUCGCCGGCGAGGCGCGGAGCCUGGAGGAGAGGCUCGGCCAGGCCGCCAUGGGCGACGCUUUCUUGCUCCAGGGCGGCGACUGCGCCGAGAGCUUCAAGGAGUUCAACGCCAACAACAUCCGCGACACCUUCCGGGUCAUCCUCCAGAUGGGCGUCGUGCUCAUGUUCGGCGGCCAAAUGCCCGUCAUUAAGGUAGGGAGAAUGGCUGGACAGUUUGCAAAGCCCAGAUCUGAAUCAUUUGAAGAGAAAGAUGGAGUGAAGCUGCCUAGUUACAGAGGAGACAAUAUAAAUGGUGAUGCAUUUGAUGAAGUAUCAAGAGUCCCAGAUCCCCAGAGAAUGAUUCGGGCCUACACUCAGUCUGUGGCUACUUUGAACCUUCUGAGAGCUUUUGCAACUGGAGGCUAUGCGGCCAUGCAGCGAGUCACACACUGGAAUUUGGAUUUCACAGAGCAUAGUGAGCAAGGUGACAGAUAUCGUGAACUGGCUCAUCGGGUGGACGAAGCCCUGGGUUUCAUGGCCGCUGCUGGUCUCACAGUUGAUCACCCAAUAAUGACUACAACUGAAUUCUGGACUUCCCAUGAGUGCUUGCUUUUGCCCUAUGAGCAAGCUCUAACCAGGGAGGACUCAACUUCUGGACUUUACUAUGACUGCUCUGCCCAUAUGCUUUGGGUCGGUGAACGUACGCGUCAACUUGAUGGUGCUCAUGUUGAGUUCCUGCGAGGUGUCUCUAAUCCCCUUGGUAUUAAGGCGAGUGACAAGAUGGACCCAAACGAGCUUGUUAGGCUCAUAGACAUUCUGAAUCCUAGGAAUAAGCCCGGCAGGAUAACGGUGAUUGUGAGAAUGGGAGCAGAGAACAUGAGAGUCAAGCUUCCUCAUCUGAUAAGAGCAGUUCGCAGAGCUGGUCAAAUCGUUACUUGGGUUAGUGAUCCCAUGCAUGGAAACACCAUCAAAGCUCCUUGUGGACUCAAGACUCGAUCUUUUGACGCAAUCAGGGCCGAGGUAAGAGCGUUUUUCGACGUUCACGAUCAAGAAGGAAGUUACCCAGGUGGAGUUCAUCUGGAGAUGACAGGCCAAAACGUCACGGAAUGUGUGGGAGGCUCUCGCACUGUAACCUACAACGACCUCAGCUCGCGCUACCACACCCACUGCGACCCGAGGCUGAAUGCUUCCCAAUCGCUGGAGCUCGCAUUCAUCAUUGCCGAGCGGUUGAGAAGAAGACGGCUUAGACCUCGGAGCCCUCCAUCUUCUUUCAGGCUCUAAGGAAGGCUCUCAUCGACCUCGCCGGCAAAUCCAACUUGGUUCCAAGCUCCUUUUGCAGUUACCGAUGCAGAGUAUAGUAGGUGGUGUGUGAAAGUAUGCUGAGAUGUAUGGACACUUGGCCUGUACACUCCUCAGGCUGUCAUUUUGUAUGCUAUAUUUACAGAGACUUGGAAGUUGGAUAUUACAUUUUCUCUUUUGUAAAGGAGAAAUUAGUGCCACGUGGACAGCCACGUGUCAAUUUGUGCCUCAUCAGUGAGGAGUAUUUGAUUGCACAAAUUUGGUCGAGGAAA